rnacentral:tRNA from 1 species
GGUAGAGUCAGCUAACGAAGCUUUCGGGCCCAUACCCCGAAGAUGAAGGUUAAAAUCCUUCCCCCGCCA